rnacentral:lncRNA from 1 species
CCUUCAGGAUUAAAGAGAAAUGUUUCUUUGUUUGGGUUUUCCGUCUUUCUUUCUUUUUUUUUCUCUUUUAAGCCUCUUUUCACAUCUGUAGUGGCUUUUUUUUUCUCUCGCCUGGGGUCAAAGGAGAAGGGCCAGAGAAUGUCGUCCCAGCCAGCAGGGAACCAGACCUCCCCCGGGGCCACAGAGGACUACUCCUAUGGCAGCUGGUACAUCGAUGAGCCCCAGGGGGGCGAGGAGCUCCAGCCAGAGGGAUGGGAAAACUGAGGCUCCAAGAGGUAACUUGCCCAAGAUCACAGAGUUGAGACUAGUCAGAGCCUGGAUUUGAACCUAGUGUUCUUGCCCACUGAACGUGCUGAAGGGCUUGGAAGCUGGAGACCGAAGAGAGGCCUGGGUGGGCUCACUGCAGGCCCCAUGUCUGCCCCUCCAGCAUGGGUCUCUCUGCUUGUUUCACCUUCCAGGGGCCUGGAAGAUACUGGGACUGUUCUAUUAUGCUGCCCUCUACUACCCUCUGGCUGCCUGUGCCACGGCUGGCCACACAGCUGCACACCUGCUCGGCAGCACGCUGUCCUGGGCCCACCUUGGGGUCCAGGUCUGGC